CGUGGACCUAACUGCACCAGUGGCUUUUCUGAGGAUACUUGCUGUAAAGGAAGUUUUCUGGAGUGGUAUUUGCUAAGUGGAAGCCAGAAGAAGAGGAAAACGUUUUGCCACGUGGAUGUGAAGAUUUCCUCUAAAAGCAGGAAUAAAGAGAACAUCACCUUGUAAAACUGAAGAUUGUGACCAGUCAGAAUAAUGUCAAAGUGCUUACAGUGCAGGUAGUGAUAUGUGCAUCUACUGCAGUGAAGGCACUUGUAGCAUUAUGGUGACAGCUGCCUCGGGAAGCCAACAUGGGCUUUAAAGUGCAGGGCCUGCUGAUGUUGAGUGCUUUUUGUUCUAAGGUGCAUCUAGUGCAGAUAGUGAAGUAGAUUAGCAUCUACUGCCCUAAGUGCUCCUUCUGGCAUAAGAAGUUAUGUAUUCAUCCACUAACUGAAGCCAAGCAAGUAUAUAGGUAUUUUAAUAGUUUUUUGUUUGCAGUCCUCUGUUAGUUUUGCAUAGUUGCACUACAAGAAGAAUGUAGUUGUGCAAAUCUAUGCAAAACUGAUGGUGGCCUGCUAUUUCCUUCAAAUGAAUGAUUUUUACUAAUUUUGUGUACUUUUAUUGUGUCGAUGUAGAAUCUGCCUGGUGUAUUUCUGAUGUGACAGCUUCUGUAGCACUAAAGUGCUUAUAGUGCAGGUAGUGUUUAGUUAUCUACUGCAUUAUGAGCACUUAAAGUACUGCUAGCUGUAGAACUCCAGCUUCGACCUGUCGCCCAAACUGUCCUGUUACUGAACACUGUUCUAUGGUUAGUUUUGCAGGUUUGCAUCCAGCUGUGUGAUAUUCUGCUGUGCAAAUCCAUGCAAAACUGACUGUGGUAGUGAAAAGUCUGUAGAAAAGUAAGGGAAAAUCAAACCCCUUUCUACACAGGUUGGGAUCGGUUGCAAUGCUGUGUUUCUGUAUGGUAUUGCACUUGUCCCGGCCUGUUGAGUUUGGUGGGGAUUGUGACCAGAAGAUUGUGAAAAUUAAAUGUUGCUGAAGAUUUCGACUUCCACUGUUAAAUGUACAAGAGAUAUGAAGUAAUAAAGAAAAUUUGUAACUUUUUGUUUUAAAUACAUCUUGUUUUCAUCCAAAAACAUUUCACUUCUCGUGUUGUAUGUCAGAUUUGGCAGUGUAAAUUCUGGCUAUAUUUUUUGUUAGAUUUAUUUGGCUGUUAAGUAUUGUGAUAUGACUAUGAUAGGACUAUUUUAAACAUACAGUAUACAUAACGAUCAUCUGUAAAGUUAGAAUAUACCUUUUUGCUUUCUUUGGAGUUAAUGUUAUUUCAGGAUAUUUUACUUUCUAAAAGUUAAUAAAUUAUGUUCCUCAUAUAUUGCUCAAGUAUUUAAAUUUAGAGAGAAUGCCAUUGUGUUUAAAGCAGUGUAUAAAGAUGGAUUUUUUUUAAGCAUGGAAUUUAGGGUGGGGGGUACAGUUUGUUUCUAUUAAACAAGUACUAGUUUACCAAUACAUGAGUAACUGAUGUGUAACUUAACUGCCUGUAUUCUAGUUUUUCUUUCUGAUCCUUAGUGAUUUCUUAGCUGUAAAUGACCAGGGUCCUCAGACUGCUCUCAGCAUCUGCAACUUAAAAAAAAGAAUGGGAGUUAAAAGAAAAAAACACAUGAAUGCUAAAUAGAAUAACAGAUCUAUGUAUGUGUACACUCUUCCCAAAUGCCAAGGGUGUAGUGGUGGAGUGAGAUUCAGAGUCAUUUAUUUUUAAGUCUGUAGUUAACAUUUAUGUUCCCUACUCCUUGCAUAAGCUAGACUUUGGCGACAGUGAUGGUUGAUUCCAGGCUUAUUUGACUUAAGUCACUGAAGUGGAAACUAAGAAGCAGCAGUUACAGUGUUUUAUUCACCAUUUCUGCCUUCUCUCUUUUCAUGUGUUUUGUCUCUAGCCUGUGUGUAUAUUGAGUAGAAAAAUGUGGGAUACCUGAAUAAUAGAUUUUAAAACACAGGUGUUAAAAUUGGACCCAAGCUGCAGUAGGGGCAAACUUGAUGUUUGGAAACUUAAGUUUUGAGGAAUGUCAAUGUAUUUUAAAGAUGCUAUCUUAGUAAUAAGAAAUAAACUUCCAUAACACUAGGUUAGACAACCCAAUAAAUCUAGAAAUCAGCUUUUAAAAAUACUGUGUGAAGUCUAACAAAGGUUUUCACCUCUAAUGUGUUCUUAAAGUUUAAGGAACUUAAUCUUGGAUUCCUGAAUAGAAAGGUAAGAAUUUUAUCUUUCUGGAAUUGAUGAAAAGACAGAUUUUCAGUAUGUGAAGUGAACAGUGAUUUAUGAUGGAAAUCGAAUUGUACAUUAGCCAAGUUUCAAAACUUUUCAAAUUGAAGGAGACCUAAAAAUUGUGUCUUUCUGGUUUAGUGACAAACAGGGCUUUAAAACUGUUUAAAAAGUCCUGGCCAGUGGCACAGUGGGUCACGCCUAUAUUCCUAGCACUUUGGGGGAGACCAAGGCGGGCGGACUAUCUGAAUAGGUCAGGAGUUCAAGACCAGCCUGGCCAACAUGGUGAGACCCCAUUUCUCCUAAAAAUACAAAAAAGUUAGCUGGGUGCAGUGGCGCACGCCUGUAAUCCCAGCUGCUUGGGAGGCUGAGGCUGGAGAAUUGCUUGAACCUGGGAGGCAGAGGUUGCAGUGAGCUGAAAUUGCACCACUGCACUCCAGUCUGUGCAACAGAGUUAGACUUCAUCUCAGAAAGAAAAAAAAAGUCCCAUAAUAGUAACAUGGUCUUGUAGUUUGCAAAAUGAUGUGCUUUGGUUAUAAAUGAAAAUACUUUGUUUUACAUUUGUCAGACUAUAUAGUUUUAUUUUAAAGCUUUUGGGGAAAUACACUAGCAUUUUAAUGGGACAGUGUGAUAGGAAGCCUGCCAGAUGAUUUCUUAAAUGCUCUAAAAUGAAAGUCAAAUAUUAAUAACAAAGACUUAAAUGGCUUUUUCUCCCUAGAUACUGAAACUGUAGUAUUCAUUGUGUUCAGAACUUAAUUGGGCUUGAACUGAGAUUUAAAUCUCUUUGUUUUGUUGUGUGAUUGGUAGUGAUCUGUGGCUGUAUAGGGUUUAUUUAAUAGGAAUUGCUUUUGAUUUGUUUCUGGCUUUAGAACGUGAAGCAAGGUUUACAUUCUUGGUUCUAUUUAAGAUUUUCUUAGGCAUGAUAACAUGCCAACAAAUCCAUGCAAGUAUUGUAAUAAAGGUUCACAUUAAUUUAGCCAUUUUGAAAUUCAGAUAAGUGAACAAGUUGGUAAUGGCCUCAUCUCUGACCUGAGGAAAAAACAGCUUUGACACCUUGUUCUUAAAAUGCUUUAACCUUGAAGUAGCUUGAUACAUGAGAGGUCAUGUUGCUUCAGGUUUAAUAGAUAGCCUUAACUAUUUUGCGGGGAAAAAAGUGGGUCAAUUUUUUUUCUUUGGUGUUGGCAUGUACACCUUUUUCUAAAGCCUAUAUUUGGAAAGAAAGCACUUAACAUUUUAUAAAUUCUUUUUAAAGCUGCUUGCAAAGUACUGGAGAUUUACUGAAAACUUUUGAGAUCUUCGUUUUACAGGCAAAUCUGUCUAACUACUACAAGCCAGACUUGGGUUUUCUCCUGUUUAGUUUGAAGACACACUGACUCCUGACAAAAUGCAACCUGCAACUGCCUGGAAAACAACUCAGUGUCACAUUAAAGUUUAUUAUAUAUUAAUGGUAUACUGUUGAAUUGACAGUCCCGCAUAGUUUGUCUAGAUUUAGAGAAUUAAGAGCCUCUCAACUGAGCAGUAAAGGUAAGGAGAGCUCAGUAUACAAAGAGCCAGUUCUUGGUGUCUGAUGGAAGAAAUAAGAUCAUCAUAACCACUUAAUCCUUCAGAUUAUUCUUUAGCUUAGUGGUUGUGAGUUACAUUCUUACUGAAGUCCAAAUUAAUGUAGUUGUCUGCCUUGAUAAAUUCCAUAUAUGGUAUUCUUAGUUUUAAAGAAUCAUUAGGAAAAUGCACAUAUUCCAUGAAUUUUAAGACCAUUGAAAAGUUGUUGAAGAAUGCUUAGUUUUCUGUAUCCGGUAAUGUAAACACGGACACAACUUUGAGAUGUACCUAAUUCUGUAUUUAUACUUUGGUCUGGCUGUUUGAGUUCGAGUGCAUUUAAUGUUAAUAAAUACUGCAUUUUAAAGCUGUUAAGAAAUUGUCUAGUGUGAGCUUAUUGAAAUAAAAACUUUAAGGUGGUUAUAGCA